AACCAACGCCGGCACAGCCGUACACUCACCAAUACCUACGCACAAGAGGCCGCCCGAGGGACGAAAACACGUCGGUUGGCGUACCAAACGGUAGGGAAAGUAAGGAGAUGCGAAUACCGAAACGCGAGUAGCCACAACAAGGAACAACGGACACAACUUUUGGUAAUAAAAUACCUUGGUUAAAAAAAUACGCACGGCUACAGCAGGAGAACGGGAACCCCGCCCCACUGUAACUUUCCGCCGGGAAGUAGCCAGCACCAGCUACCGGAAAAUCCGACAAUCCGAUAGCCAUGAGCUCCCAGCGAAUCCAGAAUGCCUACGCCACAUGACUACCAUAGCCCCGCACAUCGGGACAGGGUUGCAGCCAACAACGAGCCAAAAGAUACCGGGCGAGAGUACACUUACUACGAUGCACACGCGGCAAGGAAGAAACCCCCCUUCUCUCGAAGCCGCAGCGCGACCAUAGCAACUCCUGCACGAUGGACCAACUAGGACGGUCAUCAG
rnacentral:misc_RNA from 1 species